UACAGACACACACUAACACAUGCAGCUACAGAGACACAAAAAACACACAUACAGAUACACAGACAAAAAUGCAGACAUACAGAUACAUAACUACUGAGACAAAGGAGGUAAACACAGGCAGAUACACAGACACACACAAAUGCAAAUACACAGAGACAUACAUACAGAUACUGACAAACACCCGUACAUAUUAUCAUAUACAGACACACAU